CUCACAAUACGUUCUUACUUACAAAGCGUUUCAACUUUUUCUCCGGCGGUGAUUUACGGAGCCAUCCCGAGCAGACCACCUCCCCGCCGCCGCCGGCUCCAACUCCUCCGCCACUCCCCGAGCUCAUCAUGCUAGUCCGGCUGUGCCCGGCUCACUGUGCCCGCUCAGACCCGGGGGCUUCCAGGCUCGAUCCUCCAACCAGCACCUCCUGCUGCUGCUACAGCUGGAUCCCUUCUUCUCCUUCCCCGGGAUUAACCCCUCGGCAGCCGGGGAGAUUAUGGACACACACAGCGCUGUAUCUCCGGAUUGAGAAACUUUCCAGUCCGGCCCGUGUGAGGAAGCCCGGAAUCCGGGAGUGAACUAGAUCCCGCUCCCCGCCCUCCGCCGGGAACUCUACCACAGCGGCUCCAGCUCCCAUCCAGCGCAGGGAGGCCGUGACGUCACCACUGACCUCACCGAGUCAUGUGACUCCCAGAGUCUCAGCCCUGGGAGUGCUGGGCGGGAGAGAGGCAUGGGUGGCUGGGAUAGACCGAGAGAGACAGGCUGCCUGGGAGCGGGGGAGAGAGAGGGGCCACCAGGGAGUAUAAUAGAGAGAGAGGGGCCGCCUGGAAGUGCAAUAGAGAGAGGGGCCGCCUGGGAGUGGAGUAGGGAGAGAGAGGGGCUGCCUGGGGCAGGAUAGAGAGAGG